rnacentral:rRNA from 1 species
AUUGAACGCUGGCGGAAUGCUUUACACAUGCAAGUCGAACGGUAGAGGGGGCAACCCCUCGAGAGUGGCGAACGGGUGAGUAAUAUAUCGGAACGUGCCCAGUCGUGGGGGAUAACGUAGCGAAAGUUACGCUAAUACCGCAUACGAUCUAAGGAUGAAAGCGGGGGAUCGCAAGACCUCGCGCGAGUGGAGCGGCCGAUAUCAGAUUAGGUAGUUGGUGGGGUAAAGGCCCACCAAGCAAACGAUCUGUAGCUGGUCUGAGAGGACGACCAGCCACACUGGAACUGAGACACGGUCCAGACUCCUACGGGAGGCAGCAGUGGGGAAUUUUGGACAAUGGACGCAAGUCUGAUCCAGCCAUUCCGCGUGCAGGAUGAAGGCCCUCGGGUUGUAAACUGCUUUUGUACGGAACGAAAAGGUCUCUCUUAAUACGGGGGACUCAUGACGGUACCGUAAGAAUAAGCACCGGCUAACUACGUGCCAGCCGCCGCAGUAA